rnacentral:rRNA from 1 species
GGACGAACGCUGGCGGCGUGCUUAACACAUGCAAGUCGAACGAUGACGAUGGUGCUUGCACCGUCUGAUUAGUGGCGAACGGGUGAGUAACACGUGAGUAACCUGCCCUCCUCUUCGGGAUAACCGCCGGAAACGGUGGCUAAUACCGGAUAUGAAUGUCUGCCGCAUGGUGGGUGUUGGAAAGAUUUAUCGGUGAGGGAUGGACUCGCGGCCUAUCAGUUUGUUGGUGAGGUAAUGGCUCACCAAGGCGAUGACGGGUAGCCGGCCUGAGAGGGCGACCGGCCACACUGGGACUGAGACACGGCCCAGACUCCUACGGGAGGCAGCAGUGGGGAAUAUUGCACAAUGGGCGAAAGCCUGAUGCAGCGACGCCGCGGUGGGGAUGACGGCCUUCGGGUUGUAAACCUCUUUCAGCAGGGAAGAAGCGAGAGUGACGGUACCUGCAGAAGAAGCGCCGGCUAACUACGUGCCAGCCGCCGC